GAUUUAUACAGAAGAGGGGAGAGACCAGGCUCGGUGAACCUCUGGCAACCUACCACACGGCAAGGUGCUAAUUCCUGCCUAAAGUAACCGUUACGGCGGAUCAUUAGGAGCUAUAAAUC
rnacentral:ncRNA from 14 species